CCAUUCGGGGCGCAGCAGGCGCGAAAACUUUACAAUGCUGGAAACAGCGAUAAGGGGACCUCGAGUGUCAGGUUACAAAUCUGGCUGUCGUGAUGCCUAAAAAGCAUUGCAUAGCAAGGGCCGGGCAAGACCGGUGCCAGCCGCCGCGGUAACACCGGCGGCUCGAGUGGUAACCGUUAUUAUUAGGUCUAAAGGGUCUGUAGCCGGCCGGAUAAGUCUCUUGGGAAAUCUGGCAGCUUAACUGUCAGGCUUUCAGGAGAUACUGUCUGGCUCGAGGCCGGGAGAGGUGAGAGGUACUUCAGGGGUAGGGGUGAAAUCCUGUAAUCC
rnacentral:rRNA from 1 species